GUCGUCGUGGCCGAGUGGUUAAGGCGACAGAUUAGAAAUCUGUUGGGCUCUGCCCGCACAGGUUCGAAUCCUGUCGGCGACG
rnacentral:tRNA from 1 species